AAUCAACGCUGGCGGCGUGCCUAACACAUGCAAGUCGAACGCGAAAGCCCGCAAGGGUAAGUAGAGUGGCGCACGGGUGAGUAACACGUGGACAACCUGCCUUCGAGUGGGGAAUAACCUUCCGAAAGGAGGGCUAAUACCGCAUAACACCUCGGGACACAAGUCUUGGGGUUGAAAAGAGCAAUUUGCUCGAAGAGGGGUCCGCGCCUGAUUAGCUAGUUGGUGAGGUAACGGCUCACCAAGGCUUCGAUCAGUAGCCGUCCUGAGAGGGAGCACGGCCACACUGGAACUGAGACACGGUCCAGACUCCUACGGGAGGCAGCAGUGGGGAAUUUUGGCAAUGGGCGAAAGCCUGACCAAGCAACGCCGCGUGGGUGAUGAAGUAUCUUGGUACGUAAAACCCUUUCGGCAGGGACGAACCUAAUGACGGUACCUGCGGAA
rnacentral:rRNA from 1 species